ACCUGCUGACUCUUUUCAAGACUUUAUUCACUAACACUAGGUCCAACACAAAGCACUAGGUUCAAACACUAAGCACUAAGUUCAAACACUAAGCACUAAGUUCAAACACUAAGCGCUCACAAUGUCCUCAGUCGUAGCCAAUGUCGUAGGUAUCGCUGGUACCACUCUUGAUCACUAGUUUUCACUCUUGAAGUCGCCUCGAAGAUCGCUCAAACUGAACUG
rnacentral:misc_RNA from 1 species